rnacentral:rRNA from 1 species
UACGUAGGGUGCAAGCGUUGUCCGGAAUUACUGGGCGUAAAGCGCGCGUAGGCGGCUUUGUAAGUUAGAGGUGAAAGCCCGGAGCUCAACUCCGGAACUGCCUUUAAGACUGCAUCGCUAGAACGAUGGAGAGGUAAGUGGAAUUCCGAGUGUAGAGGUGAAAUUCGUAGAUAUUCGGAAGAACACCAGUGGCGAAGGCGACUUACUGGACAUCUGUUGACGCUGAGGUGCGAAAGCGUGGGGAGCAAACAGG